rnacentral:rRNA from 1 species
UACAGAGGGGGCAAGCGUUAUUCGGAAUUAUUGGGCGUAAAGGGCGCGUAGGCGGCUUGGCAAGUGGAAGGUGAAAUCCCUCGGCUUAACCGAGGAACUGCCUUCCAGACUGCUUUGCUUGAGGCCAGGAGAGGCGAGUGGAAUUCCCAGUGUAGCGGUGAAAUGCGUAGAUAUUGGGAGGAACACCAGUGGCGAAGGCGGCUCGCUGGACCGGUUCUGACGCUGAGGCGCGAAAGCGUGGGGAGCAAACGGG